CUGCCCUUUUCAGACACUGAAUUUGAGCAGAAACCAUAAGGAUACUCAAAGGACCUGUGACUCUCAGGAAAUGCAUCAAAUGAGAGGGACAGAUGAAACAGUUUCAAGACAAUGGCAGGAAAAACAUGCUGAAGAUUGAAACAAACCUUGGCUGGAAAUAUUUGAAGGUAUCUAGCCAGUCCACAAUGAAAGCUUCGUUGCACCCCAUGAGUCUUCUGGCAGAAAUGAUGGCACCUGUAUUCUUUGGUUUCCCUAAACAUCACACCCUGCCUGU